UACGUAGGGUGCAAGCGUUGUCCGGAAUUACUGGGCGUAAAGAGCUCGUAGGCGGUGUGUCGCGUCGGUCGUGAAAACUUGGGGCUUAACCCUGAGCUUGCGGUCGAUACGGGCAUCACUGGAGUUCGGCAGGGGAGACUGGAAUUCCUGGUGUAGCGGUGAAAUGCGCAGAUAUCAGGAGGAACACCGGUGGCGAAGGCGGGUCUCUGGGCCGAUACUGACGCUGAGGAGCGAAAGCGUGGGGAGCGAUCCGG
rnacentral:rRNA from 1 species